rnacentral:rRNA from 1 species
CAAGGUUAAAACUCAAAUGAAUUGACGGGGGCCCGCACAAGCGGUGGAGCAUGUGGUUUAAUUCGAUGCAACGCGAAGAACCUUACCUGGUCUUGACAUCCACAGAACUUUCCAGAGAUGGAUUGGUGCCUUCGGGAACUGUGAGACAGGUGCUGCAUGGCUGUCGUCAGCUCGUGUUGUGAAAUGUUGGGUUAAGUCCCGCAACGAGCGCAACCCUUAUCCUUUGUUGCCAGCGGUUAGGCCGGGAACUCAAAGGAGACUGCCAGUGAUAAACUGGAGGAAGGUGGGGAUGACGUCAAGUCAUCAUGGCCCUUACGACCAGGGCUACACACGUGCUACAAUGGCGCAUACAAAGAGAAGCAAUCUCGCGAGAGCUAGCGGACCUCAUAAAGUGCGUCGUAGUCCGGAUUGGAGUCUGCAACUCGACUCCAUGAAGUCGGAAUCG